GAUGAACGCUGGCGGUGUGCCUAAUACAUGCAAGUCGAGCGAAAAGACGAGGAGCUUACUCCUCUGACGUUAGCGGCGGACGGGUGAGUAACACGUGGAUAACCUACCUAUAAGAGUGAGAUAACUUCGGGAAACCGGAGCUAAUACCGGAUAACAUGUUGAACCGCAUGGUUCAACAGUGAAAGACGGUCGUGCUGUCACUUCUAGAUGGAUCCGCGUCGCAUGAGCUGGUUGGUACGGUAACGGCUUACGAAGGCGACGAUGCGUAGCCGACCUGAGAGAGUGAUAGGCCACACUGGAACUGAGCCACGGUCCAGACUCCUACGGGAGGCAGCAGUAGGGAAUCUUCCGCAAUGGGCGAAAGCCUGACGGAGCAACGCGGCGUGAGUGAAGAAGGUCUUCGGAUCGUAAAACUCUGUUAUUAGGGAAGAACAAAUGUGUAAGUAACUAUGCACGUCUUGACGGUACCUAAUCAGAAAGCCACGGCUAACUACGUG
rnacentral:rRNA from 1 species